rnacentral:rRNA from 1 species
GAUGAACGCUGGCGGCGUGCCUAAUACAUGCAAGUCGAGCGAACGGACGAGAAGCUUGCUUCUCUGAUGUUAGCGGCGGACGGGUGAGUAACACGUGGAUAACCUACCUAUAAGACUGGGAUAACUUCGGGAAACCGGAGCUAAUACCGGAUGAUAUUUUGAACCGCAUGGUUCAAAAGUGAAAGACGGUCUUGCUGUCACUUAUAGAUGGAUCCGCGCUGCAUUAGCUAGUUGGUAAGGUAACGGCUUACCAAGGCAACGAUGCAUAGCCGACCUGAGAGGUGGGUAGCCCACCGGAGAAGUGGAACAGGGCCCGGCGUCCGAGGGGAGGCACCAGUGGGGAUCUUUCGGGAAGGGGGGAAAGUCGGACGGAGAAGCGCGGGGGGAGGGAUGAGGGCCUCGGGUUCGAAAAAUUGUUUUUUAGGGAAAAAAAAUCUGUGUAAGAAACGGGGACCUUCUUGACGGUACUGAAUAAAAAAGCACCGGCUAACUACGUG